GAGAAUGCCAGUCCGUGGCUUGGAUGCCCUUCAUUCCACCGGAAUCUGUAGAGGCAGAUGCCAGAUUUCUGUGAAAUGAAGCCCAUCAGGCAUGGGUUCCC
rnacentral:miRNA from 1 species